AGUAACACUCUGGGAGGGCUCAGGCCACAUCACGAAAUGUGACAGGAUAGCCUUGAACUCAUCAAUUGCUGGCAAGGUAAGCUGUCAUCAGUUGGAGGUAAGCAGAAGACAGUAGAGAGUACAGAGCCCUGGACUGUGACUCAGAGGAUGAGCACCAGAUCCAGUUUGCUGUGCCACAGUGCUCAGCAUGAUGUAAACUCCACUGCGGACAGAUGCAGCCAAGAAGACAGGUCACCUUCUACCAACUCCCACCAGAGGAAACUCUUCCCCAGGACCCAGUACGUUGGCCCUCUGACCCUGCACACAGCACAUGAUGCUGAGGUUCAGUGCUGAACAAGAGCUACUGAGAGCCAGAGAUUCACUUCUUCCAUGGAGCCCCACUCAUGGAUGGAGGCUCUGUCCCGGGUCCAGUGCCACUGGGAACACUGGGUCUCUGGUUUCUAGCUCUGUCCUAUGGCAGAGGUUCCACCCCACAAUAACCGAAGUGCUGAGAAGGUGGGAAGCUCCUGCCCGACCCUCCACUGAGAGCUCAGCUCCUAGGCUGAGGAAUAAAACAGCUCAACUUUGUCUACACCUGCAGAACCUUGUUUAGGAGCUCUGUCCCAGGAGAGAGGGGGCAAUGGAAUUCAGUCAUAAAAUAUGAUCCUUAAUUAGUCCUAAAAAUCCUAACUUCAGUAACAGCAGAUUGUGGACAAAUUGAAAGCCUGCCAGUGCUCUCAAAAACAGUGGAUGGUGUGGUGGAAAGCCCUUGGAAGGAGACGGGUGGAUGCAUGGGAGAUGCAGGCUACACUGCAGGGCUGCUGGCUUGCAGGAGAGAACCGAGGACAAGGGAGAGCUGGGGAAAGUUCUCUUGUGGUUGAAAUAAAUGCCAGACACUCUUCAA
rnacentral:lncRNA from 1 species